ACAGAGGUGAAACGUGCCAUUCUCAUCCCACUGUAUGAAGGUAUGGACUCAAUGCCAGUGUUCCCAACCUUGGUCAUGGUGAAACGUGCCAUUCUCAUCCUGCUAUAUGAAGGUAUGGACUCAAUGCCAGUGUUCCCAACCUUGGUCGUGGUGAAACGUGCCAUUCUCAUCCCACUGUAUGAAGGACACAAAUCAAGAUCAGCCAAAUCAAGAGACACAGGACAAAAUCUGAGAGGAUCUCAAGCAUACAGCUUUCGUGUUUUCUCCCUGUGGGAUCAAGCACGUCACUAUCCAGGCACAUCAACUGGAAGCUCCACUAAGCCUUGGUGUCCAGAGUUUUUAUGGGGCUUUAUUAGGUAGGCAUGAUUGAGUCGUGGGUCAGGUUUGUGACAGAUUGGCAUAAUUUCUUCUGUAUGUACUUUGUAGAAUUCACCAGUGGAACUAUCUGGGCCUUCAGUUUUCUUUAUGGGAAGGUUUUACAGUAAAAAUUCACUUUCUAAUAUAGAGAGAGGUUUGUUCAAGUUUUAUAUGACUGUUCUUGCAUUGUCUUUGAUAGUUUGUAUCUUCAAGUAAUUUUUCCAUCUUAUCCAAGCUCUCAAAUGCACUGACAUAAAGCUGCUCGGGAUAUUCCGUUAUUACCCUCUCAGCCUCUGAUCUGCAGUGAUGCACCUUCUACCCUUUCUGGUCUUGGUAAUUUAUGACUCCCAUCAGUCCGAUGAAUUUUUAUCAAUUUUUAAUCUCAUCAAAGCUCUUGAUUUUCUCUUCUAUUAAAAU
rnacentral:lncRNA from 10 species